rnacentral:rRNA from 1 species
GAGUUUGAUCGUGGCUCAGAUUGAACGCUGGCGGCAUGCCUUACACAUGCAAGUCGAACGGCAGCAUGAUCUAGCUUGCUAGAUUGAUGGCGAGUGGCGAACGGGUGAGUAAUACAUCGGAACGUGCCCUGUAGUGGGGAUAACUAGUCGAAAGAUUAGCUAAUACCGCAUACGACCUGAGGGUGAAAGUGGGGGACCGCAAGGCCUCAUGCUAUAGGAGCGGCCGAUGUCUGAUUAGCUAGUUGGUGGGGUAAAGGCCCACCAAGGCGACGAUCAGUAGCUGGUCUGAGAGGACGAUCAGCCACACUGGGGACUGAGACACGGCCCAGACUCCUACGGGAGGCAGCAGUGGGGAAUUUGGACAAUGGGCGAAAGCCUGAUCCAGCAAUGCCGCGUGUGUGAAGAAGGCCU